CCGACCUUUAUCGCCGAGCUCUCCGCACCUUCCUCGCUAGUGAGGGAGAAAGAAGACAGACAUCUGUGAAUUCCAGGAUGUUUCUACAGUCAACAGCUGGACUGUACCUUGCAAUAGUCCAGGGUGGCUACAAACUCAUAGGAUCCCAGAGACAACUCAGGUCUCUCAUAGAAGUCCACCCUCCGGCCCAUGUGAUCAAGAUGUUGGAAAUAGAAGACUGGCACUUGGUUGCAGAAACCACACUGGUAGCGACGACCGCCAUCAAUAAACUGCAUGGAGGGACACAUGUAGGCCUUGCAUCGAUUGCAGCGGAUGGG